rnacentral:rRNA from 1 species
UACAGAGGUCCCAAGCGUUGUUCGGAUUCACUGGGCGUAAAGGGUGCGUAGGUGGCCAGGUAAGUCUGAUGUGAAAUCUCGGGGCUCAACUCCGAAACUGCAUUGGAUACUAUCUGGCUGGAGGGUCGGAGGGGGGACUGGAAUUCUCGGUGUAGCAGUGAAAUGCGUAGAUAUCGAGAGGAACACCAGUGGCGAAGGCGAGUCCCUGGACGACUCCUGACACUGAGGCACGAAAGCUAGGGGAGCAAACAGG